GGUACGUACGUACGUUCGAGUACGAGUUUUACGUAUCUCGGACUCAGGACGACGCUGGCGGCGUGCCUAACACAUGCAAGCACGGAACUAGUUGAGAUCUCGAGACAUGUAGUUUAGUGCGACGGGUGAGUACGCGUGAGUAACCUGCCUCCGAGAGGGAAUAACAAUCUGAAAAGAUUGCUAAUACCGCAUAACAUAGCGAAGUCGCAUGGCAGCGCUAUCAAAGAUUUAUCGCUCGGAGAUGGACUCGCGUCCGAUUAGUUAGUUGGUGAGGUAACGGCUCACCAAGACCGCGAUCGGUAGCCGGACUGAGAGGUUGAACGGCCACAUUGGGACUGAGACACGGCCCAGACUCCUACGGGAGGCAGCAGUGGGGGAUAUUGCGCAAUGGGGGAAACCCUGACGCAGCAACGCCGCGUGAAGGAUGAAGGUUUUCGGAUUAUAAACUUCUUUUAUUAAGGACGAAAAAAUGACGGUACUUAAUGAAUAAGCUCCGGCUAACUACGUG
rnacentral:rRNA from 1 species